UUUUCAAACUUUGUACAUCGUUUUUUUUCCAACGCGAGAAAUAAUGAUUGAAAUAACUCUAAAUUAUAUAAUGCAAAUCUGAAAUUUGCUUCUCAAGUGUUCAAUCUACUGUCAUAUGAUAAUAUAUAAUUGUAUCUAUUGAGACCGUUUUGGAACUUUCUCACAAACGAGACAAGUGCAGUUUGCUCUCAUCUUUCCGUACGUAUAAUGUGUAACUAAUCCAGGCUCUUGUUGGCGCACAAAGAAGUAGCCCAUACAGUACAGAAAAUUGUAGCAAUAUUGUAACAAUGUUGCUGCAAUGUUCUGUGCUGUAUAGGAAGGGGCUCGACCUUUAAUUCAGUGCAAUAGUGUUCCUUCAGGUAUCUAGUAGAAGACACAUAUGUACAGGGGGAUCCUUGAAGGAUGCCAGGCUUUCUCGAGAUGUUUACAAAAACAGAACAUGCAAUGAAAACAAAGAGAAAGAGAAAGAGAGAGAGCCCUACUGAACCAAAUUGCCGGCAGAACCCACAUAUUAUAAAGAAUAUUACAGCUUAUAAAUUAAUUUCGAUAAGUCUAUCUUUGAUUUCCUUAGGCGCGGGUGACUCUAGACUGGCCCCCUAUAGCUUUUUUAAAGCGACAUUAUAAUUUAAAUCAGUAUCAGUACUUUAAAGGAGAUAAAUGUCAGAAGAUAAAGAGAGAAAGAGAAAGGAGUUAUUAGCUUGAGUUACCCGAGGUGCUUUUAUGGGGAACUUUACGAAUGGAACAUAGGCGAACGAGAGAGACUCAGCGAAAUGAUUACAUAUUUAGCGUGUCUGUAAAACGGCACGACUAGUGCAAUCAUUCAGGAAUCACUUUCAUCGAUCGUAGCUUUUGGCGCAUCGUAAUCGAAACUCUCUCUCGAAACUACCUAAUCACAAUCACUAACAAAGACAAUGACAUUCUUCUAUGAGCUACCGAAGAAAAAACUGUUUCUUUACACCUCUACCUGGCGGUCAUGCUGCAUUCUUGGUGAAUAGUCACACAUACACUUUCACACAUACGAAGAUAUAUAUCUACCCGC